rnacentral:rRNA from 1 species
AUUGAACGCUGCGGCAGGCCUAACACAUGCAAGUCGAGCGGUAGAGAGAAGCUUGCUUCUCUUGAGAGCGGCGGACGGGUGAGUAAUGCCUAGGAAUCUGCCUGGUAGUGGGGGAUAACGUUCGGAAACGGACGCUAAUACCGCAUACGUCCUACGGGAGAAAGCAGGGGACCUUCGGGCCUUGCGCUAUCAGAUGAGCCUAGGUCGGAUUAGCUAGUUGGUGGGGUAAUGGCUCACCAAGGCGACGAUCCGUAACUGGUCUGAGAGGAUGAUCAGUCACACUGGAACUGAGACACGGUCCAGACUCCUACGGGAGGCAGCAGUGGGGAAUAUUGGACAAUGGGCGAAAGCCUGAUCCAGCCAUGCCGCGUGUGUGAAGAAGUCUUCGGAUUGUAAAGCACUUUAAGUUGGGAGGAAGGGUUGUAGAUUAAUACUCUGCAAUUUUGACGUUACCGACAGAAAAGCACCGGUAA